ensembl:snRNA U6 U6 spliceosomal RNA
GUGCUCACUUUGGCAGCACAUGUAAAUUGGAACAAUACCAAGAAGAUUAGCAUAGCCACUGUGCAAGGACAAACAAAAAUCCAUGAAGUACUCCAUAGUUUU